rnacentral:rRNA from 1 species
UUUUCCGUAGGGGUAACCUGCGGAGGGAUCAUUACACAAAUAUGAAGGCGGGCUGGAACCUCUCGGGGUUACAGCCUUGCUGAAUUAUUCACCCUUGUCUUUUGCGUACUUCUUGUUUCCUUGGUGGGUUCGCCCACCACUAGGACAAACAUAAACCUUUUGUAAUUGCAAUCAGCGUCAGUAACAAAUUAAUAAUUACAACUUUCAACAACGGAUCUCUUGGUUCUGGCAUCGAUGAAGAACGCAGCGAAAUGCGAUAAGUAGUGUGAAUUGCAGAAUUCAGUGAAUCAUCGAAUCUUUGAACGCACAUUGCGCCCUUUGGUAUUCCAAAGGGCAUGCCUGUUCGAGCGUCAUUUGUACCCUCAAGCUUUGCUUGGUGUUGGGCGUCUUGUCUCUAGCUUUGCUGGAGACUCGCCUUAAAGUAAUUGGCAGCCGGCCUACUGGUUUCGGAGCGCAGCACAAGUCGCACUCUCUAUCAGCAAAGGUCUAGCAUCCAUUAAGCCUUUUUUUCAACUUUUGACCUCGGAUCAGGUAGGGAUACCCGCUGAACUUAAGCAUAUCAAAAGCCNGGAGGAAACU